rnacentral:lncRNA from 1 species
UUGUGCUGCCCAGAGAGUUGUUUCCAGCAUUUAAAGUAUUGUCACCACCUGUUUUUGUGAAAUAAGAUCUGUUCUGAUAUGGUUUAUAUCCUGCUUUAGAACUUGAAGCCCCCGUUCCUUGUUUUUCUAAGUGAACAGCCAAUUCCAUGGCUUCUUGUAGAUCCUCUAGCUUGGCUCUGACCACUUCCGUUUGAAUUUCAUCCUUCAAACCUGAUUCGAACAUUUCAAGUAAUAGCCAAUCUGGAAUUCCCACCACUUUAGAAGAAUAAUCUUCAAACCUUUCUACAAAAUCAGCCACUGUAGUAAUUUGAACUAGUUUGCUUAAUCUCCCACCUGGAAUAGUAUAAGUUGUAGGAUUAAAUUUUUUUAACAAAGAUCUCACGAAUGCAGGCCAUGUUGACAAGUAAUUGCUAGAUUCCAUCCAUAAGAACCAUUUUAGAGCCACACCCUGCAUAUUGAAUGAAGCUAUAAUUAAUUUCUAAUCUUCUGGUGUGUUAUGGAAAAUAAAGAAUCUCCUAGCCAUGAAUAUCCAUAGCUCUGGUUCGUUGCCGUCGAAUCGGGGCAUAUCAAAUUUGAUGUGUUUAGGUGGGAUGUAGUCGGCAUUUCCAUAUAUACUAACUGCAUAAGAUGGCCUUUCUGGAUCAAUAAUACACUACAAAAAACCAGCGCAGUUCUGGCGGCAUAUUCGUUGUUAAUUAUUUCAGAAUCACCGGUCUCUAUUUUUUUGCCAAUAAUUACCUCCAGUUGUUUUCCCAGCUGCAUAGAAUUGUGAUUAAUAAGGUUCCGAAGUUCCGUCAUCUCUCUAGUUUGAGAUAGUUGAAAUUCUUGCAGUCUCUUCAUAUUUGCCUCAAUCUCUUCCAUUGGGGCAGGUCUUGCCAUCUAGAAAUUCCUGAAAUUUAGAGUACAAAAAUAGAUGAAAGCACCAGUUGAUACAAGCUAGGAGUAUCAAGGAAUUAUUCCAAUAUCCGAUAUGGAAUAAAUGGACCUGUGGAGCUCUAGUGUCUCCGAUCUAAGAUCGGAAUACGAUCUAGACGAUGAGACAAAAAAAGCAGUGCGAUCUAAGAAUCGCGACGAAGAGCCCGCCGGACAGGAAACAGGACGGCAGAUCGGAGAACUCGCCGGACAGAGAUGUGUAGAGUUGGAGACGAGAGCUGGGUGAUCUAAAAAAUACGAUGAAGGACUUGCCGGGCAGGCGCANNNNNNNNNNNNNNNNNNNNNNNNNNNNNNNNNNNNNNNNNNNNNNNNNNNNNNNNNNNNNNNNNNNNNNNNNNNNNNNNNNNNNNNNNNNNNNNNNNNNUACGUCCACGUCAGUCCCCAGCAUGGUGAGUUCUUUGUCCUUGCAUUUGCCUGUGCCAUGACCUGUUCUAAAGAUAGACCUACACACGUAAUCAAACUGGGUUUUGCAUUUAAAAUAUAUGCCCAUAGAUCCUUGGAGAACUUGCACUUGAAGAAGACAUGGUCUUGUGAUUCCCAUGUCCCCCCACAUAAUAUGCAGUCUGUGUUCCCCCCUCCCAUUCUACCCGCCCAGUCAGCUCUCAUGGAUAUUUUGGACCACCUGGCCCUCCAGAGUGUUAUGCUGAAUUUCCUUACACUAGUCGUCCAAACCCCCUCCCCGUAUUGAUCUAUUGGCUCAGUAUUCCUGACGGAGUCCCAAGCGUUCUUGAAAGUCAGGGAAGUCCCUUUUCCUACCCAGGUGUAAUUAUAAUCAGCAUCACACUUUAGGUUCCCCUCUAUCACAUCCUUCUUGUCAAUGAUUUCAGCCCAUAGGGCCGAAUCCGAGUUUGGGUGCUUCUCUAUAUCUCUGAGAGCGCGUCCACCCACGUAUCUCCCCCUCAUCCAUGAUGCCCAGAUCGAGUCAUCUGCCGACCAUAUUCUACCCAACCUUAUCAUCCUCGCCGCUUCAGCGGACUCUCUGAAGCACCUCAGUCCCAUUCCACCCUCCUUUUUGGGGAGGGUCAUCUGGUUUCAUCGGACAUCUUGCUUCCCACUCCACAUAUAUCUGUAGGAGAUGGAUCUCAAUUCUUCAAGGGUAUCCGCCGGGAGUCUGCUCGACAUAUUCCAGAAAUUGAAUAUGCCCAUUAUACCCCAGUGAUACAGCUGAACCCUGCCCGCAUGAGACAACAACCUUGUUUUCCACCCCUCUACCAUCUUAUUGACUCUUUCAAUUAGGGGGGGCGCAGUCCUUUGUGUAGAGGAUCCUAGGUGAUAGAGGCAGCCCAAGAUACGUUAUGUUGGGUAAUGUUUUUCACACUAUUACAACAUUUAUUUAAUUAAAAUAAAACUGAUUACUCAACUAACCCGGUUAACCAUUUUACUUCUCAUAAUCGGUAAUCCAUAUGGAUGGUCUCCUCUCUCGAGUAGAUUUCUUUCUUACUAGCUUGCCUGAAGAAUGCUCUCCUCCGCCGGUUAAUAGCUCCUGAUUGGUCUUUUCCAUUAGCUCCACAGACUGUGACAAAUCCCUAACCAUUGCAUCUGUAUCAUGUUCACCUCCCCAAAGAUUCACCUUGUCCUCAAGGUGGAUAGAAGGAAAAAUUUCCAGCAGCUUGGCAUUAUCUUCCCACGAUGAAUCUUCCAGAAGUGAUCCAUUCCAUUGCAUUAGUGAUUGAGGUACUUUCUUGCCCUGUUUAUAUAUGAUCCUGCAAUCCAGAAUUGAUAUAGGGUAUAAUAUGGGAUUGUUACUUACUGAAAUUAGUGGGUGUGCUUCUAAUUUUGCAGGUUCUAGACCAUGGAAUGCCUUGAGCUUAGAUAUGUGGAAGCAAUCAUGAAUUCUGCUCCCUUGAGGCAAUUCUAACUUGUAAGCAACCUUGCUUAUUUUUUCUUUAAUUUUAUAAGGCCCAAAAAUUUUUUGACACAAUUUGUUGUGCAGACGGAAUGCCACCGUGAUCUGUCGAUAUGGUUGAAGCUUAACUAGUACCAGGUCUCCCACUUCAAAUUCAAUUUCUUUCCUCUUUUUAUCUGCAUUUGCUUUCAUUCUGCUUUGGGCUUUGAACAGAUUUUUCUUCACAUUUUCUAUUGCUUCAUUCCUUGAUUGUAUUUCUCCCUCCACUGCCUCUAUAGUUGAUGAUUCAGUAGCAAUGUUUGGAAUUAAUGUAGCUUCUUUACCAUAUAGAGUUUGAAACGGAGUUUGACCCAAUGAUGCAUUAUAAUUUGUGUUGAACCACAAUUCCGCCCAAGGCAGUAAUUUGAGCCAGCCUUUGGGUUGUUCAUGAGCUAUAGCUCUCAGAUACAUCUCUAUACCUCUAUUGACCACUUCUGUUUGGCCAUCGCUCUGUGGGUGGUAAGCAGAAGUGAAAUUUAGUUUUGUACCACUCAACCUAUUCAGUUCCUUCCAAAACCUGGAGACAAAGACUUUAUCCCUAUCUGAUACAAUGGAGUUGGGAUAACCAUGUAGUCUAAUAAUUUCAUUCACGAAAAAUUCAGCAACCAUAUUUGCAUUGUAAUUUGUAGAGAGAGCUCCCAAAUGGCAUGAUUUAGAUAAUCUAUCAACAACUACAAUUAUAACAGUUUUAUUUUGUACCUUGGGCAAACCUGUAAUGAAAUCCACAGAGAUGUCAUGCCAUACCGAUGGUGGGAUGGGUAAGGGAUCAAUAACCCAUUACUCUUCUGAUUUGUAGUCUUUGUCUUCUGACAAAUUAUACAUUCCUUUACAUACACCCUUAUGUCUUUCAUCAUUCCUUGCCACCAAAAAUUUUUAGAGAUUCUGUGAAAUGUUCUUUCGACACCCGAAUGGCCACCAAUAUACCCAUCAUGGAAUUCUUUAAUAACCUUUAAAGUUAUUCCCGACUCUUGUAAUAAGAAUAUACUUCCCUUGAAAAAAAUCAAUCCAUCCCUGAAAUCAUACCCUUGUGCUUUUAGGUUCUCCUCUUGAAUUUUCAGAAUUACCUCUUUUAUUUUUUGUGAUAGAGAAUUGAAUCUUUUUACCUCCUCAAUAAGUGAAUUAAUAGGAACUGAGAAUGAGAGCAUAGAUCCCUUUACAUUUUCAGAUCUGUUGGAAUAUAGAACUUCCUCUUCCUCUGAUUCAUAGCUUCUGGAUAGGGCAUCAGCUACUUGGUUGAAUUUUCCUGGUUUAUAAAUGAUGGUAAAAUCAUACCCCAACAGUUUACAAAGGAACACCUGCUGCUCGGGAGUUUGUAUAACUUGGGUUAAGAAGUUUUUUAAACUCCUAUGGUCUGUUUUUAUAAUAAAAUAUCUACCAAGGAGAUAAUGUCUCCAUUUUGCCACAGAUUGAGUAAUAGCAUACAUCUCCUUGAUGUAGACUGAAGCUGCUGAGAGUCUACCACUGAUCUUGCUGCUGAAAAAGGAAAUAGGAUGUUUUUCUUGUAGUAGUACAGCCCCUAUCCCCGUAUUGCAUGCAUCUGUUUCCACUGUAAAUUCUUUAUUAAAAUCUGGAAAUUGAAGUAUAGGAGCUGAGGUCAUGGCAGAUUUCAGUAUUUCGAAGCUUUUAGUAGCUUCCUCAGACCAUUUGAAGGCAUCUUUCUUUAGUAAGUUAGUCAUGGGAGUGGCUAACUGAGCAUACCCUUGAAUAAACCUUCUAUAAUACCCACUCAAGCCCAAAAAUCCUCGUAGUUGUUUCAAGGUUCUUGGCACAGGCCAAUCCACUAUUGCUUGGAUUUUAGCUGGGUCUGGAUUUACCCCAUCUUGGCUGAUUAUGUGACCCAAGAAUCCCAUAGUAGGUUUCCCAAAUGAGCAUUUAGACUUCUUGGCAAGGAGUUGAUUCUUUUUCAGCACUUCAAAAAUAAUCUUCAAAUGCUCUAAAUGAUUCUGUACAGAAGAACUAUAUACUAGAAUAUCGUCAAAGAAAAUAAUAACAAAUUUCCUCAAAUAUUGUUGAAAAACCCGAUUCAUUACUGCUUGAAAUGUGGCCGGGGCAUUUGUGAGGCCAAAGGGCAUCACCAAAAAUUCAUAAUGACCUUGAUGAGUCCUAAAGGCAGUUUUCCCAAUAUCUGAUGGAUUGAUUCUGAUCUGGUGGAAACCUGAUCUUAAAUCCAAUUUUGAAAAAAUCAUAGAUCCUCUUAAUUCCCCUAGUAGCUCGUCGACAGUGGGAAUUGGAAAUUUAUCUUUGAUAGUUAGAGCAUUGAGAGCUCUAUAAUCAACACAGAGUCUAUAUCCCCCGUCCUUUUUCUUUACUAGUAAGACAGGUGAUGAGUAAGGGCUAGUGCUAGGUUGGAUUGUGCCUUGUUGAAGUAAUUCCCUUACUAAUUUUUCAAUUUCUUCCUUUUGAAACUGGGGGUAUCUGUAUGGUCUGACAUUUACCGGGGCUGAAUUGGGCUCAAGAUGAAUGUAGUGGUCAUACUCUCUAAAAGGAGGAAGACCCUGAGGCUCUGUAAAAAUUUCUUCAAUUUCUUCCACAAUUUCAUUUAUUUCUGUUUUUUCAGAACUGAGCAUCAAACUGCUUGAGGUGUCUACUGCCUCAGAAUAACAUAAAAAUGCCUCUGCAGAUAUCUUAACUAAUGACUUCAGUUGCCCCAUAGUAGGAGGAUCAGUAUCCAGCCAUGAUAUGCCUUGCCACACCACUUGUUCUCCUUUCCAUUGAAAUUUCAUGACCAAGUCUUUAUAAUUAGAAAUAACAUCACCCAACUGUUUCAACCAUUGAGUACCUAUCACAAUAUUUGCCCCAGCCAUAGGUAAAAGGAACAGAUCAAGGAUUAUUAUGACUCCUUGUAUUUUUAUUUUCACACUCCUACAGACUUUAUCACAAACUAGCUUUUCUCCACUUCCUGUGGACACCCUGAAUGAAUUUAUAGCACAGAUAUCUAACUGCAAAUUUUUAGCCACAUCCUCCUGCAUAAAAUUGUGGGUAGAUCCAGUGUCAAUAAGCACACUGACACUCUGACUUUUGAUAAACCCCUCUAAUCUGAUAGUUCUAAUACCAAUCUUCCCUUGUAGAGCUUGAAGACUAAUUUCAGAUUCUUCCUCGAUUUCCAGAAUUUUAAUCUCACCGUCAUCUUCUAUUUCUUCCUCAUUGGGCAAUUCCCAGAAUGUAUUAUCCUCAGCUGAAAAUCUGUAUAGUCUGCCUUUGCACUUGUGCCCUGGAUUAAAUUUUUCAUCGCAAUUAAAACAAAGACCCUUGGAGGUUCUUUCUUUUCUUUCUGCAUAUGUCAGCCUUUUAAAAUUUGGUGUAACUGUAUUUCCAGAUUUGAUGUUAUUUGUGGAGUUUGAAAUGUUUGAUGUGAUUGUGCUGCCCAGAGAGUUGUUUCCAGCAUUUAAAGUAUUGUCACCACCUGUUUUUGUGAAAUAAGAUCUGUUCUGAUAUGGUUUAUAUCCUGCUUUAGAACUUGAAGCCCCCGUUCCUUGUUUUUCUAAGUGAACAGCCAAUUCCAUGGCUUCUUGUAGAUCCUCUAGCUUGGCUCUGACCACUUCCGUUUGAAUUUCAUCCUUCAAACCUGAUUCGAACAUUUCAAGUAAUAGCCAAUCUGGAAUUCCCACCACUUUAGAAGAAUAAUCUUCAAACCUUUCUACAAAAUCAGCCACUGUAGUAGUUUGAACUAGUUUGCUUAAUCUCCCAC